CUCUACACACUCAACUCAAUUCACAACGACAACGUGAAAAAAGGGGGUAAAAGAGCGGGUUUCAAGUUGCAAGUGCGCCAAAAGGGGGAGCAAUAUAACCGAAAUACGAGGAGAGGUCGUUCGUCGGGCGACGGCGGCGGUGACAAGAGACACAACACACAAUAAUAAUCCACCUCUUGUCCUUGUUAGAGUGGAUUUUCUGUUGACACACGAAAGUGCCGGAUGCCAAAGCCGAUGAGGAGGUGCAAAAGUGAAGAGGAUUUAACCGAUAACAGCGAGCUCAGAGCCUAGCCCAGUUCAGCUACGAAACUCUGCUCUAAAAAAAAAAAAACAAAAACCCAACAACACAAACCGAAUGCAAUUGUUAUUUUUUUUUUUUUUAUUUUAUUCUGAGAGAAGCCUUUUCGAUGUGGAUUAAAAUGGUUUUAUUGGAAAAUUUAUGAUGACCACACGACAGACAAACAGACUAUCCGCAAUUUGACGUCAGACUUUCAUUCGCCUUCAUUUCGAGUUGGAAAAUAAUUGCCGUUGAACAAUUUUGCAUUUUCACUUAAAUUCUAGCAAUUUUUGGGACUACGGAAACGCACAAAACUUCCUCAAUCUUUUGGGGGGCAACAGAGAAUAGAAAAGAUUUGGUUUUCGGGGGAUUUUUAAAGGAAAACAAACCACAAACGACAAGCGGCUACUUUCAACACUUUUUUUCUUUUUUUUUUUUUGGUUUUGUGACGACAACGAGAAGGAAAAGAACGACAGCGACGUGAAAAGAUGACGACAAACCAGGCAGUGGAAGUGACUGUGGAGAUGCGGUAGAAAUUUCAGUUUUGACAAAUUAAAAAAAAAAAAAAAACAAAAAUUUGAUAGAUGAAUGGGAAUUUUUUUUUUCUUCUUUUUCUUUUUUUUUACUGUAUUUUUUUUUUCUUUCUUUUUCAAACAAAAUAUUAUAACUUUCUUCACAAUUGACUUAUUGGUAUAAAAUUUUAUUACAUUUCAAUGCACACACUUUAU